CAGUUCCAUUCAGAACUUGGUGCUUUUUUCACAUGGAAUGAUUAUGGGAAACAAACCCUUUUCAGCAUGUAUACCAUUCAUACUGCAUUAGAAAAGAGCAGAAGCACUAGGAAAAACAAGCUGGAGUGACAUCCCAAAGGUAGGGAGGCUGGAGCAAAAUUUAAAGCUAUGCCAUCAGCUGCAGUGUAACUGAAGCAUGUUGUGUGAGUGAGAACAUUAUGCUCUAGUGUUACAGAAGGAUCAGAGCUUACAGCCCUGCAAAACAUCAUUUGAUACGUGCACUGAGUAAACAUCACACCAUUUCUCAGCUGGCUGAUUUGCUAAUGUGGAAUAUAUAUCACUCAAAUCAGUGGAAUCGAAGUACAGACUGCUGGAGCCAGGUAGCUUCAAUUCGAUGACUUCACAGAGAUGAAGCAAAAUUAAAGGCAUCCAACCAAAGGGAUAGUCACUGAACUCACACAGAGCUGCCAGACCUUUUGCUGAAAGUAGCCAAGUCUGUUUUUUAUUGCUUCUGAGUUUCCACUGCUUUUUCUGUCAUACAGCAAUACCUGGCUCAGUAGGUUAAAGCACAGGCACAGUCUUUGUAACUGCUGAACAUGUAAUGAGAAAUAUGUAAUAUUUCACCCUGUACUAACCUUGUUUUAUUCCAAUAUUAUUUCCCUGUCUUUGUUUCAUCUGUGUCAUCUUGUAUCCUGUGACCCUGUUCGUUUGUAGAAGGCUAUGUUCUUGAUGUGGAAGUCUCUUUCAACUGCAAAGCUCUCCCUUUGGAUUGCUUCUUUCUGUGCACAUUUCUGAUGUGUCACUGCAUGCUGGUACAGAGAGAGAUGUCAUCUUUCUGAGAAUUCAGAGUGACAGCAAACACGCAUAUGAGCUAAAUUUUUAAUGACUGAUCACACUGCUCCUGAUAGUGUUGGGCACUGAAAACCAAGCUUGACUUCCAACAUACACGUCAACCAUGGACUGGUAGGAAGAAAGACAACAUGGUCUUUUGAAGAAUUGCAAAGGCUUCCUGUUUGACCGUGUGCCAGAAAAUGCAUACUGAUAGUUAAACUGACAUUGAUAACCCCCUGAGAAAUAUCCCAGCUAAGUAAAACAUGCUACAGUAUUGCAUUGUAAUAUAAUAUUGACUCAAUAUUACAAAUGUGAGUUUUCCUAGGACCUUAAAUAGUAACAAUACUAGUAUUUAGUUUUACCUGUAUUACAAAACUUACCAUGGUUUUCAGAGUAAUUUGAGUCUAUAAUCAAACACCAUCCAUAAAACAGUAUUAACAGGAUUUAAAGUUCAUUUUUACUAACAAAGGUCCUCGUGAUCCUAUCUGACUGCUAGUGCAGAAACUAUAUGACAAUCUAUGUAUCCAUUUCAAGCAUAAUAGUUCAAGUGCCAAUACCAAAGUGAGCUCCACAGUAGGAACAAAGCCAGAAUAUGCAUUAGAGAUUGCCACUUUUGAUUAGGAUUCUUUGAGCAGUCAGAAAGAAACAUUUUGCAUUCUAGCUAAAUCUUUUACCAUCUGAAUAGGUGGAAAUUUAAUACAGGCUAUUUCAAACUUGAGCUAGCCUGAUGAAAUAUGAAACAUGAAUCAGCUUAAGAAUUCACAAGACCCUAAACUUAUUGCAGACAUAACAAUGCAUUCUGCUGUACUAAUCACCUCCGGUGCUUUUGGCUGAGAACUUGCAGUAAAACUGCUUUUUGUACAAAUGAACUUCAUCUUUCAAACCGUGAGGUUUGUUCCGAUUACCUUCAAGCGCAUUAUUGCUUCUGCGGCUUUUUAGUACAUUGUCUCCCCCUCCUGUUUAUUUGCUGUAAGCAAUAGACUGGUCAAGUAGUGCCAGUUGCAGAAGUUUCUCAGCAUUUACCAUGAUUGCUUUUUUGGAAUCAUGUUUCUGAGGUUCUCAAGAAGACUGUUUCUCAGGUAUCCAAGUGAAGGACACAAUCCUUGUUCAAUACGUAAGAAUAGCUGCGUCCAGAGCAGUGGUAUAUACAAAAAUGUAGUGUCAUUGUGUGAGGGAUAGUUAAAACCCAAGUCCUUUCCAGUGAAUUUAAAAUAAAUAUUUUUAACCAUGAGAAAGGCAAUGAAAGAAGGAUUUUCAAGUAAAGUCACUAUCUGGAAACUUUAAAAAACAGCCCACUAUCACACUUAAGAGAUGUGUAAAUUGAAAAGUACAUUUGAAUAGUAAAGUACAAGAAGCUGCCUGCAGUUCAGCCAAUACAAAAGAAGUAUAAAGUGUAAUGGUAACAGGUAAUAUGAAGAAGAGGAAGACCAGAUGGGUAACCAGUGAUAAUUUGUACAUGCAAAUUAGAAUUAAAAUUUGUGGAAUUGAAUAUGUGGUACCUUUUCUUUAAAAACAGCACUGGAAGAACUCCACAUCUAAUGGCAAUAGCAGGUAAACUAAAGAAUAAUUGGAAAUAGAGUCUUACAGAAAACAUGGUGAGAUAUGCAGAAGUCUGAUUUCCAUUCCUGUUCUCCAGCAGUGGAACAGAAAUGCGAGAAAAGCUUUCAGGGAAAGACUGGUUACAGUCAGUGUAGGCACAUUCCUGCAAUGAAACAUGGGUAAAAGCACCUGAUGCUUGAGGCUACCAGUGACAUGUAAGUGACACCAAUGAUAUUUAUAAAAUUCAGUGUAUGUGGUGCAUUUUCCCUGCUUGUCUGGAAGCGCCAUACACCAGGGAAUGCUCACAUCAUUGUGCUGCAUCUCACAGUAAAAAACCCAGCAGAGACAUAGUGCAGGUAAAAGCCGUGUAAAACUCUAUGUGCUCUAGUUAGCUGUGUUAAAAAAUUAGGAUUUAAGAAAUCAAUAAAAGGAAAUAUCACAUAGAUUAAAGAACCAUUUCUUCUUAAAAAGAAAUUGUCAUCAGUCGUAAUUCUGUCCACCAUUCAGUCACAACUGAAUGGGGACGUCAGCAGUGAAUUCCUGCAGAUUAUUGCAAGGAUGAGAACACUACUCUAUGUUUCCAUCAAGAGCUUUUGAGUGCUUCUGACCAAGAGACUGGCACUGUGAUGAAACAGGGACAGCAUAGUCUUGCAUACAAAAAUAGGUUUUAACACGUGGAGAGGUAGGGGAAAAAUGCAUCUGGAGAGUGGGUUAUUCUCAAAGGAACAAGGCAAGGGCUCACGUUGCUUGAGCAAGCUGCAGUGAACAGCAUUAAUGAGAUGUAAAACCAGCAGAGUAAUGACUUCUCCACUUCCAGGUUUAUUUUUACCCAAGACUGUUUAAAAUUAAAUGCAUAAACAACCUGGAAAGAAUACACCUUCUCCCCUGCUCCAAGGUACAUGUUUUGAACACUAUGCUACAGUUAGCUCCUCCUUUGCUCAUUUUCCUUCUGGGUCUCCUUUUGCAAAAUGACAGCUUCAACAGAGGUAUAGAGAAUCUUCUUUCCAGCACACACAUUCAGUUUGGUGGUUAAUGCAGCCUUCUGGAAAUCUGAGGAUGUGGAUCUGUACCUUGUCACAGAAGCAAACGUCAUCCACAUCUCUCACCUUCUGUGACACUUGUAACCAGAAACCAAUUAUUCAAAAGGUGUCCAUCACUAUUUCCCGCAUUUCAUAACGAAAGAAAGAUCACAGAAAAAACAUGCAAAUAUUGAAUCACACAGAGAUGGUGACAACCACCUGAUAGCCAUUGCAGCACUGAAAAGGAACAGGACUUCACAUCCUUCGCCAGGGUUAGCAAUUGCUACUGCUAGCUCUGGGCUGCUCACCUCCCAAAUAACCAGGUUUUCAGGACAUCACUGAAAUGAUUCAACUCAUCUGAUAUAUGGUAACAGAGUCUUCUGUUGGCGUUGGCCCUGGAAGAGUUUUUAGGAUGUGUUUUGGAUAGAGGCAAAAGAUGAGGCUUACUACAGAGGUAAAUGUGUGCACUUCAAUGACCUUUGAUAUAGAGAGACUGGAGUAUCUAAUGGUUCUUAACUAUUUAACUACAGCUGUUUAAUUUCUGUUCUCCUCCAUAAGAGAAACAUAAUGUAUCACAUCUGUUUUGGAUCACUAAUAAUAUAUUUAUAUAAAAAAAUAAA